rnacentral:rRNA from 1 species
UUCCUACGGGGGGCAGCAGUAGGGAAUCUUCCACAAUGGACGAAAGUCUGAUGGAGCAACGCCGCGUGAGUGAAGAAGGGUUUCGGCUCGUAAAGCUCUGUUGGUAGGGAAGAAAGAUAGAGGUAGUAACUGGCCUUUAUUUGACGGUAAUUACUUAGAAAGUCACGGCUAACUACGUGCCAGCAGCCGCGGUAAUACGGAGGUGGCAAGCGUUGUCCGGAAUUAUUUGGCGUAAAG